UCCACAUUAGCUCAGUUGGUAGAGCAAUCGGCUGUUAACCGAUCGGUCGCAGGUUCGAGUCCUGCCUGUGGAG
rnacentral:tRNA from 1 species